rnacentral:rRNA from 1 species
AACGAACGCUGGCGGCAUGCUUAACACAUGCAAGUCGAACGUGAAACUGGGGCUUGCUCCAGUGGAAAGUGGCGGACGGGUGAGUAACGCGUAGGGAACGUGCCUUAUGGUUGGGGAUAACCGGGGGAAACUCUGGCUAAUACCGAAUGAGCUCUCGGGGCCCUAGGGCCCUGCGAGGAAAGAGGGGCAACUCUCGCCAUCAGAUCGCCCUGCGUCCCAUCAGCUUGUUGGUGAGGUAACGGCUCACCAAGGCAACGACGGGUAGCUGGUCUGAGAGGAUGAUCAGCCACACUGGGACUGAGAUACGGCCCAGACUCCUACGGGAGGCAGCAGUGGGGAAUAUUGGACAAUGGGCGAAAGCCUGAUCCAGCAAUGCCGCGUGUGUGAUGAAGGCCCUAGGGUUGUAAAGCACUGUCGGGAGGGACGAAAAAGCCGGGGUAACGCCCGGAACUUGACGGUACCUCCUAAGGAAGCACCGGCUAACUCUGUGCCAGCAGCCGCGGUAAUACG